rnacentral:tRNA from 1 species
GCCGGUAUAGCUCAGUUGGUAGAGCACCUGACUUGUAAUCAGGGGGUUCCGAGUUCGACUCUUGGUGCCGACACCA